CAAAGAAUAUUUUAAUAAAAAUAAUAAUUUUGGAGAUUAUAGAUAUAGAUAAUUCUUUUUCUUUGA
rnacentral:tRNA from 1 species